rnacentral:rRNA from 1 species
GGGUUGUGAGGUUAAGCGACUAAGCGUACACGGUGGAUGCCCUGGCAGUCAGAGGCGAUGAAGGACGUGCUAAUCUGCGAAAAGCGUCGGUAAGGUGAUAUGAACCGUUAUAGCCGGCGAUGUCCGAAUGGGGAAACCCAGUGUGAUUCGUCACACUAUCGUUAACUGAAUACAUAGGUUAACGAGGCGAACCGGGGGAACUGAAACAUCUAAGUACCCCGAGGAAAAGAAAUCAACCGAGAUUCCCCCAGUAGCGGCGAGCGAACGGGGAGCAGCCCAGAGUCUGAAUCAGCUUGUGUGUUAGUGGAACGGUCUGGAAAGUCCGACGGUACAGGGUGAUAGUCCCGUACACCAAAAUGCACAGGUUGUGAACUCGAAGAGUAGGGCGGGACACGUGGUAUCCUGUCUGAAUAUGGGGGACCAUCCUCCAAGGCUAAAUACUCCUGACUGACCGAUAGUGAACCAGUACCGUGAGGGAAAGGCGAAAAGAACCCCGGCGAGGGGA